rnacentral:rRNA from 1 species
AAUCCAUAGGUUAAUGAGGCGAACCGGGGGAACUGAAACAUCUAAGUACCCCGAGGAAAAGAAAUCAACCGAGAUUCCCCCAGUAGCGGCGAGCGAACGGGGAGGAGCCCAGAGCCUGAAUCAGCAUGUGUGUUAGUGGAAGCGUCUGGAAAGGCGCGCGAUACAGGGUGACAGCCCCGUACACAAAAGCGCAUGUGCUGUGAGCUCGAUGAGUAGGGCGGGACACGUGGUAUCCUGUCUGAAUAUGGGGGGACCAUCCUCCAAGGCUAAAUACUCCUGACUGACCGAUAGUGAACCAGUACCGUGAGGGAAAGGCGAAAAGAACCCCGGCGAGGGGAGUGAAAAAGAACCUGAAACCGUGUACGUACAAGCAGUGGGAGCCCCACCACCAAAGCAUUUGCUGUACCGCGUUGACGGAGCGAAGCGACGUCAAACCGAUAAAACAGCAGUGUAAAGUGAGCCGCAGGGCGCUUUGCGCGACAGCGCAAAGGCAGGCGGUUU